CCUACGGGAGGCAGCAGUGAGGAAUAUUGGUCAAUGGACGCAAGUCUGAACCAGCCAUGCCGCGUGCAGGAAGACGGCUCUAUGAGGUGUAAACUGCUUUUGUACGAGGGUAAACGCAGAUACGCGUAUCUUUCUGUAAGUAUCUUACGAAUAAGGAUCGGCUAACUCCGUGCCAGCAGCCGCGGUAAUACGGAGGAUUCAAGCGUUAUCCGGAUUUAUUGGGUUUAAAGGGUGCGUAGGCGGUCGGAUAAGUUAGAGGUGAAAUCCCGAGGCUCAACUUCGGAAUUGCCUCUGAUACUGUUCGGCUAGAGCGUAGUUGCGGUAGGCGGAAUGUAUGGUGUAGCGGUGAAAUGCUUAGAGAUCAUACAGAACACCGAUUGCGAAGGCAGCUUACCAAGCUACGUCUGACGUUGAGGCACGAAAGCGUGGGGAGCAAACAGGAUUAGAUACCCUUGUAGUC
rnacentral:rRNA from 1 species